rnacentral:lncRNA from 1 species
CUUGACGCAGGUGGCAUCUUUUCUGUCGAAACUCUGUAAUAUCGAAGCAGGCAGCAGGAUGUGAUUUAUUAACCUACAGGUGUGCGUCUGUCAAAGUUUGUGCUUCAAACGCAUCCUUGUCCAGCUACGGCAGACAACUGUGCAUAAAAGCUGCUUCAUAGGUCGUUACCCACCGCCUCCAACACACGUUGAGUCACAGACACAACGUCAUAAACUUGCCCCUUUCCUCCACAGGUCACCCCACUUGGCACUGCUUUCACGGCGGCCAUCAAUUAGGUCAUGCAACGAUCGACAAACCAGGAAGUCACACAUCUGCGUAACUCUGUGGCGUUUCACAGAAGAGAGCUGAACGCCAUCCUCCGCGCUGCGAUGGAACACAGGACGGGCGAGAGGAGGAAU